CAGAUGCAUCUGUAGCUCAUCUCUUAGCCAGGUUUAGAACUCCCUCGCCAAAACGCCUAUAAUCUGUAGUAAUGUUGAAGCUGUUAUUGAUCUUUGAUGCACGAUUCACAGAGAAGAAAUAUUCAGUUUUGCAGAAUAUGGAUUUGGGAUUCUAAAAUCCCCAAAUCGGAGCUGUAAAGUGCAAUCUGGAACCGAGAACUGUACAUGCACGGGUAAACAAAUGUAGAAGUAUUAUGAGCUGUGGAGAAAGGAAAUGUGGAGAAAAAGAGAAGGGAGCCUGGUAAUGAUGCUCUAAGCAUGGAGUUGAACUGGGUAAUUGGUGUGGUCAUGCUGCUGCAGAUCCAGCAGCAGCAAGGAGAUGCAGAGCUGAUGGGCAGGCUGGCCUUGAUCCAAUUUUGAACAUUAGUGAUAGUUGCUCAGUGCUUUUGAUUUAAUUGAGUUUAUGAUGCUUUAUAUGAAUUGAUAGGGGUGAUUGAAGGCUGGGGGGUUGAUUUGCAUAGUUUCAUCUAUUAUAAACUUAUGGUCUCCUUUGUCCCUAUUUGAGUUUUGCUGAAUGUGUGUAUGUGUUUGUGAUUGUGAUUGUGGAAAGUGUUUGGGCUGAUAUUGUCUAUUGAAUCUUGCAUAGCAUACACAUUGAGAUGGGAGUGUUUGGAGGAUGGGACUUGUGGGUAGAUAAUGAUUGGUUGAGAAGUUGGAGGUAAAGGAAAGAAAAAAUGAGAAGAUGAAGGAAGAGUGGAGAAUGGGAAAAGAAUGAAGGAAACUAUAUCUGCAAGCAUGGGAAAAUUUAGGGAUUGUGUAGAUUGAGGAAGAACUUUAGUGAACUCAGAUUUUACUUAAAUGCAUCUAAUAAAUUCUGAUUGAUUUCCA